rnacentral:rRNA from 1 species
UACGUAGGGGGCAGGCGUUGUCCGGAUUUACUGGGCGUAAAGCGCGUGUAGGCGGAAGCGAAAGUCCGGUGUGAAAGCCCCCCGCUCAACGGGGGAAGGUCGCUGGAAACUGCGCUUCUUGAGGGCGGCAGAGGGAAGUGGAAUUGCUGGUGUAGCGGUGAAAUGCGUAGAGAUCAGCAGGAACACCCGUGGCGAAGGCGGCUUCCUGGGCCGCGCCUGACGCUGAGACGCGAAAGCGUGGUGAGCGAACCGG